GCCAUUCAGAGUUUCUGGGUGCAAAUCAAGGUGCUCCUCAGCUUCACCUACUGUGGCUUAGGAUUCAGCUUUCUUGAAUGUGCUGGACAUGAUCUUCCACCUCCCUGAGCACUUUUUAGAAAACUCUGAGAAGUUGACUGAAGCAUCUGGAUGCUUCUUCUUUGUGCUCCUCCUGGCAGUGCACGCUGUACCUCUGUGGCAGUGGGAGAAUGGCAGAGCCACUUCUUGCUGACUUGAACACAGACCCCAGUCUCCAUCUCUGAGCCCUUGGAUCACAACCUUCCGAGGCCCCAAGCUGCUGUGGACCAGGCAGAGUGACAGUUACACAUCCACAGUGUUUCUGUGGCUUUCAUCUCGAUGGAAGUUGCCUCGGUUAUUUCAGCUUCUCGUUUCUGCCUUGGGCAAUGAGAGGCAGGUGGAUAUGGGGUGCCUGGGGGAAAGACAACAUCGAAGGGUUCAAGUGCUCAUACACUCCUGAGGAAGACCCUUGCUGCCUUCAUCAUCCCACCUUGUUGACUGGGGCGUCCCUCUCCCAGUUGUCCUUUGGCAGAGGUACA